AAGCUCCUGGAGAAUGUCGCCUUCUCUGUCCCUGUCCGUGUCUGCGUGGACUUGCCACCUGCUUCCUUCCCUAGAGCUCCGGGUCAGAGCAAACAAAGGCAAGGCUGAGUCUUUCUUCAUCUUCUCCCACCACUCUAAUGAAGCCACGAGGCAGGAGGGACCAUGGGAACCGGACUCAGCAAGAAGGGACUUUGCAAUCAGACUCAGCAUCUCUGAAGAAAGGCCCCUCUGAAAGAAGACAGCACAGAGGCAAGCACGGCAACCUGGAAAAUAUUUACAUCCUUCGCAACCAGCCAGUGGAGCCCAGGUGGUCCCGUUAUUUGUCACCCCCUCGGGGAGCUGAGCUACAAGGCAAGCGACAGCUUCCCAUUUCAAGUCACCCUUGGGAACGUCUCUCCUCUGUAUCAUACCAACCAGGGGACCAACGUGAUGGCUGUUGGCUGUCAGAGGCCCAUGUGUAUGGGCACGGACGGGGUGGUAGAGGGAGCUGGCACGCUGGAGUCCCCAAGGUCCUGGCUGGCUUGGCCCCUCCUCAGCUGUGUCCCUGCACAGCCUUGUCACCUCCUUGGAAUUUCUGCUUCUUGGUCUGUUGGAGAGUCCCAGUGCCUGCCUACUUGACAGUUUCAUUCCAAUGA
rnacentral:lncRNA from 9 species